rnacentral:tRNA from 1 species
UGGCUCAGUUGGUAGAGCAUGGUGUUUGCAACGCAAGGGGUGUGGGUUCGAUUCCCAC